rnacentral:rRNA from 1 species
UACGUAGGGACCGAGCGUUGUCCGGAAUCAUUGGGCGUAAAGAGCGUGUAGGCGGCCUUUUAAGUCCUGCGUGAAAUCCUGCGGCUCAACCGCAGACGGUCGUGGGAAACUGGAAGGCUAGAGUGCGGGAGAGGAGAGUGGAAUUCCCGGUGUAGCGGUGAAAUGCGCAGAUAUCGGGGAAGAACACCCGUGGCGAAGGCGGCUCUCUGGAACGCAACUGACGCUGAGACGCGAAAGCGUGGGGAGCAAACAGGG